CCCCUAAAUAGGGACUGGAAUGAACGGCUACAUGAAGACUUUACUGUCUCUUGCUGCUAGUCAAUGAAACUGAUCUCCCAGUACAAAAGCUGGAAUAAUCUCAUAAGACAAAAAGACCCUGUGGAGCUUUUAAACCAAGUACACCAAAAUGUUCUAUCACGGUUUUUAGUUGGGGCGACUUCGGAACAAAAUAAAACUUCCGAAACCAUGGAAUCAUACCCAUAUCUAAGGCCAACACGCCAAGAUGAGUCAUCUACUUGACCCAGUUUACCACAUACUGAUCAAUGAACCAAGUUACCCCAGGGAUAACAGCGCCAUCUUCUUUUAGAGUCCAUAUCGACAAGAAGGUUUACGACCUCGAUGUUGGAUCAGGACACCCAAAUAGUGCAGCCGCUAUUAAAGGUUCG
rnacentral:rRNA from 1 species